rnacentral:ncRNA from 1 species
AACCUGGUUGAUUCUGCCAGUAGCAUACGCUUGUCUCAAAGAUUAAGCCAUGCAUGUCUAAGUAUAAACAAAUCUAUACGUGAAACUGCGAAUGGCUCAUUAUAUCAGUUAUAGUUUAUUUGAUGGUUCUUGCUACUUGGAUAACCGUAGUAAUUCUAGAGCUAAUACAUGCGUCAAACCCCGACUUCUGGGAGGGGUGUAUUUAUUAGAUGGAAACCAAUGCGGGGCAACCCGGUAUAUGGUGAUUCAUAAUAACUUUCGGAUCGAUCUUCGGAUCGAUGCAUCAUUCAAGUUUCUGCCCUAUCAGCUUUGGAUGGUAGGGUAUUGGCCU